CGGCCGCGCGGCAAAAUGCGCGAGCCCGGGCGUUCCUGACCAGCAGGCGGGCAGCGAUGCUGGCUGGAGUCCUCCGAAACCCUGGCGAGUGGCGCGGUCCGAGGGUCUAAGUGGUUUUCAGGCCGGAGGGGAGUUCUCCCAUCCCUGGGUACUCCGGAUCCUGGCUGCCAGGAGGCCUUCCUGGACAUUUUUUUCCCAGGUACCCACCUGCUCAACGAUCUUGGUAUUUCGGAGCAGCCUGGGCUCUCUGAAUCUUUCUACUGGCUUUGCCUCUGGAUGAAUGCUCCAAUGCACUGCCAUGUCUCCAACCAAGCACGUCAUUUUUAUUGUCCGUUGAGAUUCAUGUUUAAUACUGGAGCGUGCAAGCAGAGACAUGCACUUUCCCAAUCCUUUCCAAACUUUGAUCCAGGCUGACAAGUUGUUUGUACCCCAAAACAAAUGCCGAAGAUGGUAUUGUAAUUGUGCACAGAGAAACGCUGCACAGAACAUAGAAAAGAGGCCCUCAUCCCAUCCACUGAAGUUCUGAUGAGAACAUAGCAAAGGAUUUCAGUGCUGGUCACUCACCCAACCCAUCGGUAACACUGCCGGUUUCUUAGACUUUAAAUAUGAUUUUAAAGAAAUAUUUCUUUUUAAUGGAAAAAAAGCUAACAGACAAAAUAACAGAUAUCUAUCCCUAGUGUUCCCUCUCUGUUAAAACUGGAUGGUGGUGUGUGAAUAUCUGACAGUAUUCUCAAAUGUCUUAGAGUUAAAGGUAGGAUUAAAGUAAAUGAAAAAAAAAUGUAACCGUGAUGAAUAAAACAUUAAAGCUUUCAAAAA